rnacentral:rRNA from 1 species
UACGUAGGGGGCAAGCGUUAAUCGGAAUUACUGGGCGUAAAGCGUGCGCAGGCGGUGAUGUAAGACAGGUGUGAAAUCCCCGGGCUUAACCUGGGAACUGCAUUUGUGACUGGCGAGCUAGAGUAUGGCAGAGGGGGGUAGAAUUCCACGUGUAGCAGUGAAAUGCGUAGAGAUGUGGAGGAAUACCGAUGGCGAAGGCAGCCCCCUGGGCCAAUACUGACGCUCAUGCACGAAAGCGUGGGGAGCAAACAGG